AUUACGCAAAAGAUAAAAGUUGAUAUUGGGCCAGAAAGGGUUGACAAGGGGGAUGGAAACUCAUCAAGCUUAUAAGGAAUUAGCAGACAAAGGACAAAGGGGAUAGGAAGGAGAAUUCGGGAGUGGAAAAUUAAGGCAAGAAAAGAGAAAGACUUUCUAUGGAAAGAGCAGUCUGAUAAAGAGAAAAGGAAGGCUUAUGAUGGAGAAGGAAAAAUGAAAAAAAAAAUAAUACAGACUUUGAAGGAUUGGAAAAGUUGAUAAAAAGAGAUGGUAUGAAGAGGUUGAUGAGAAAAUAGUGAGGAGCAAGGGGCCGAAGCAAGUUAGAUUCAAAAAGAAAGGGAGAAAAUUUAAUAGAGGGAAAAGUAGAAGAAAAGACUAGAAAAUUGGUAAUAAUUUUUUAUCAAAUGGAGAUUUCAAGAAUAGGAAUGAAGUGCUAAUGAAAGACGUGAAGGUUGCUUGCUCAAUUGAGAAUAAAUUGGGUUUCACUUGCGAGGAAAAUGAGGAUAUGCUAUUGGCAGACAUGGUAAGGGAGGCAGCGGAAAGAGCUAAAAUCAAGAAAGGAACAGUAAAAGGGAGCUUCAAAUGACAAGAGACAGUUUUUUAACAUGAGAUGUCCAGCUGAUGUUGUUGGAAGCGUGAAAGUGUUUUGAUGGGUUAGUGUUUGGCUUCAGAAGUGUUGUUUUGCGAGGAGAAGUUUUAAGGAAUUGAGUCAAAUUGCCUGUGUCACGCCCCAGACCCGAGACAUGACAGACGCCGCAUACCUGUAAGGUAUAAUCCCACAGACAUGCAAGGCUCUAAAAUAUAUAUCUUAAACCAUUACUAAAAGAGACUAAUAUACCUGAAGAAUUUAGUGAUUUAUAAACUAUAUCUGUUGACAGAAUUUUCAAAUAUCAUAAUUUGACAAUAUUCAAAAUUAAAUCUCCAAAACCAUAAAGCUACUGUGUCAAGAUAAAAGUCUGAAUACUAAUUAAGAUAGUACGAUGUUCAUAAUAUUUAAAUAAAUCCUAAAUAAUUUAAGUGCUACUAAAUUAAACAUCACUCCCCAAAGUUCCCGCGUGGUUGACCAAAUCACAACCUGAAAAAAAUUUGAAGGAAGGGGUGAGUCCAACUACUCAGCAAGUAACUAACAUCCCUUCAACCGGAUUAAGCAUGCUUAAAACAUUCAGGGCAAAAUAUCAUUUACAAAUGCCAAGAUAAAAUAUUGGGUAAUCUUAUUCAGAAUCAUAUACUCAAAAUUUUCACUUUCAGAUAAUUGAACAAACAUAUUUCACAAAUAUUUAAAUUUUAAUGGUCUCCUGUAACAUGCUACGACCACACUUAACCCCUGUGGCAUAGGUCAGAAAUAGAACCACAAUUAACCCCAGUGGCAUGGGUCAGAAGAAGCAACCAUUGGCUGCACUGAACAGAUAUCACAAAUACUACUAUUCUGUAACCGGUAGUGCGGUUGGGAGAUCGAUCUCUAAUCAUAGAAUACAUGUCGACAUGGCCAACAUUUAACCCCCAUUGGCAGGGUCAGAGCAUAGCCAUACUAGGAGACAAAACAGAAAUAUAUAUUUUUUUAGAUUACCCAAAAUUCAUAAAACAGUAUAUCAAAUUUCUCAAGCAUAUCUCAUACACCACAAAAGCAUAUUUGUUUCAGACUAAAUAUUUGUGUUUAUAUUUGCGAAAUCAUAUAUGCAUACAUUAUACAAAGUCAUAUAUAAAUUUCGAAAUCAAAUAUCAUGCUUUGCAUAAGCAACAUUCUAAAUCCAACAUACAAACUCAUAUCCAUAUACAUUUUGCAUGCUCAACCCGAUUUUAAUAAAUCAUAUGACAAAAUAUUAUAUCUCAUGUACAAAAUUCAGAUUGAGGCUAAUUUUUAGGGUGUGAAAACACCAAAGGGAUAUCAGUCACUUACCUGAUCUCGUUAAUUUCAAUUUCAAGUAGUAAAUCCGAAAAUCCUCUUAGUAACCUAAUAUUUCGAGAAACAUAAAAAUCAGAACUAAAUUUGUAAACAGAUCCUACAAGACGACUUUUCGUUGACCAUCCUAAGCACUUAGGGUGUGUAGCGACUCCUAUUACAAUUUAUGAACUUUUUUUUUUUUUUAAUAAGGUGAUAUAUUAUUAUUAUUUAUAUUUUUGAAUUAAACAAAAUUUCCAAUAAGGUUGAGAAUUAAACUUAAAUCAUAAAAUCAGUAAGGACUUUAAAUUUCAGAUAGAGAAAUAAUACUAAUUUCACUUGUAAAAAUCAUAUUUGUAAUUAAUUUCAUAAAUUUUGAUAUUUUAAUAAAAUCUACUAAUUUAAGAAAUAAAUUUAUAAAAUAUAAAGAUACAUACUUCUUAACAUAAAAAUACAGUAGAAAUCACAUAUCCAAUAUUUAUGAAAUUUACAAUAGAAUUUAUCACAUAAUAAUUAAAAUCAAUUUUUAAAACAAAUUUAAAAAAAGAAAUUUUCUGUUUUCUGGAAUUUCCAGAAUCUGGAUGGCCAUUUGGCUUACUUCAAGCUCUCAUAUCUUUUAACCCGAAUUAUAUCCAGUGAUGAAAUCAACACCAAUUUAAAGUAUGCAUAUCAUACUACAAGACCAAAAUUUGUUUCGAUUAAAAAGACCACAAGAUUCCUAAGUUUCGAAAGCCAAAAUUCAAGAAAUCAUCACAGAAAUACCCAGAUUUUUGGGUUUCCAGUAUCAAUGAGCCUACUUUGAGGCUUUAAUUCUCUUAACACAGGAAGCCUCUAACCAAGACAUUGACGCCAAAUUAAACAUCUAAUUUCAUACUUCAAAAGCCCUCAAAGAAACGACCAAAAACGUCACCGGAAUAUGGAGUUCCGGUGACCCAAAGUUGGGCUGUCAAAACUGUUGAAAACCAGAUUUCUAAUUAACUUCAAAAAUUCAUAUAUUCCUAACCAUAAGGCCAAACAAGAUGCUACAAAAACCAUUGGAAAGAUCUUUUCAAGACCUUUCCAUUGGUACCCAUCAUGCUACCGGAAAGUCAUCAGAAAAGUGCCGGAUUUAAAUAAAAAAAUAAGAAAAUAUAUCUAAUUUAGGGUUUUUGUACCCAAAUUAUGAAAAUAUAAUUCCCAAACAUACCUUAAUCAGCAAUCUCUUUCCCUCUCCUCUGUCUUUCUUCUUCCCUGAUAUUAAGCCUUUCUGACUGUCUGUUGUUUGAAUCUGAUGAAUGAACUAACGUAAGUUGUUGUCUGUUCUUUUAAAACUUAUAAACUACCUAACCCCACUAACUUAAAUGGGAUAAAUAAACUGACCCUUAAUCCCACUAACUUAAACGUGAUAAUAAAACUGACUUAAUUAAACUUCUUCUUUUACUUAAAGACCCCUUCUUCUAUUUUUUUAAUUAUUAAGACACUAAAUGUCAUAAUUGUAAAUAAAUAAAAUACUAAAAUAAUAUCUACUUAUUAUCUUUAUAAAACUAUAGCUUAAUAAUUUUAAUUUAAUUUUUUUUAUAAUAAAUACUCUGUGAGAGGUAUUACAGCCUACUUAAAGAUGGAUGCACGAAUGUUAUCAGAGCUUUUGAGAUAAGGGAUAAUUCUUAAAUUGAUAUGUUCAGGUCAACUGGUGUUAACCAUAAGUUUGUUUUUGAGUAGAGGGUUUACGCCUGUUGGAGCUUUGCUUUUUCUCGAUGUUGUAAGUCAAGGCAAUAGGCUUGGAUUAUAGUUUCACUUUUGUGUUUAGUGUAGUCCUCUUGUACGUGUACUAUUCUUAUUGCUUGACUUGUUAUGUUAUUAAAAAUUUUUUAUCUAUAAGAUUCAAGACUUGUUAUG
rnacentral:lncRNA from 1 species